rfam:Nomascus leucogenys chromosome 15, whole genome shotgun sequence.
AGCUUUUUGCAGUGGCAGUAUUGCAGCCAAUGAGGUUUAUCCGAGGGGUGAUUAUUGCUCUUUGAAAAUUGAAAAAAAAAAAAAAAAAAGACACGACAUUUGCAUAAAUUCUUUUUUUUGAGAUGGAAUCUCGCUCU